rnacentral:rRNA from 1 species
AUUGAACGCUGGCGGCAUGCUUUACACAUGCAAGUCGAACGGCAGCGCGGGCUUCGGUCUGGCGGCGAGUGGCGAACGGGUGAGUAAUGCAUCGGAACGUGCCAAGCAGUGGGGGAUAGCCGGGCGACAGCCGGAAAAAUACCGCAAAAGACCUGAGGGUGGAAGCGGGGGACCGAAAGGCCUCGCGAUAUUGGGGCGGCGGAUGUCGGAUUAUCUAGUUGGUGGGGUAAAGGCGUACCAAGGCGACGAUCCGUAGCUGGUCUGAGAGGACGACCAGCCACACUGGGACUGCGACACGGCCCAGACUCCUACGGGAGGCAGCAGUGGGGAAUUUUGGACAAUGGGGGCAGCCCUGAUCCAGCCAUGCCGCGUGCGGGAAGAAGGCCUUCGGGUUGUAGACCGCUUUUGUUCGGGAAGAAAUCCUCUGGGCUAAUACCCCGGUGGGAUGACGGUACCGGAAGAAUAAGCACCGGCUAACUACGUG